rnacentral:rRNA from 1 species
GUGAGGAAUAUUGGUCAAUGGGCGGGAGCCUGAACCAGCCAAGUCGCGUGAAGGAAGAAGGAUCUAUGGUUCGUAAACUUCUUUUGCAGGGGAAUAAAGUGCAGGACGUGUCCUGUUUUGUAUGUACCCUGAGAAUAAGGAUCGGCUAACUCCGUGCCAGCAGCCGCGGUAAUACGGAGGAUCCGAGCGUUAUCCGGAUUUAUUGGGUUUAAAGGGUGCGUAGGUGGUUUGAUAAGUCAGCGGUGAAAGUUUGCAGCUUAACUGUAAAAAUGCCGUUGAAACUGUCGGACUUGAAUGUAAAUGAGGUAGGCGGAAUGCGUGGUGUAUCGGUGAAAUGCAUAGAUAUCACGCAGAACUCCGAUUGCGAAGGCAGCUUACUAAGCUACAACUGACACUGAAGCACGAAAGCGUGGGGAUCAAACAGGAUUAGAUACCCGGGUAGUCC